GGGCGACGGGCGUUCGGCCGCCCCCGCGCCGCCGGUGCCCGGCUCAUUUAACGCGUCGCUUUCUCUUUCUGCUUCAACCCCGGAGCCUUUUGCAGCGGACGCCCAGCCCCGGCACGGGCGCGAUCGUGGGUUCACGUGUUCGUGCCCGAGUUGGGCUUUGCUGGGAGGGAAGUUGCGCGACGGACGGACUGCCGCGUUUCGUCUUUGUCAUGGCUGCGUGCGAGCAGAUUCUUGAAGAGCAACUUAGGAGCUGGACUGGAGAGGAUCUGUUUUGAAGUUGCCAUCAGUACAGUAUUUUCCCUGCAGGGUCACACUCAGCACUUACUUUAUUAAGUAAGAAAGAAGCUUCCUUUCUGUACCAACAUUGGGCUGCUGUGAGUGCUGAUGCAGCGCACCCUGUAUCCCUGCAGCUCUGCAUGGGACAGGCAGGGGACAACGGGCAGCCUAUUUCCAUCCCACAGUGACAGGUAAGUGACACACAGCUACUUUAACAAAGUCUAUUUUCACCUCCCAGGCACAUAGAGUGAGGCUGGAGACAGAAGGAUAAAUGUCACAAUACCAUCAAGAGGGAUUUGUUUCACUGAUGGAUGCCACCUGUAUGCAGCAGUGUCCUGUAGCUCACAGAAGCAGUGAACAGGGUUGAGAUCAUGGAAUUUAGAAGUAAUCCUGUCAUGCUGGAAGGUUAAAGGCAGUUUUAAAAUGGAUUAUUUUUGUUGCUUCCACCAGAGGUUGAUCAAUAGCAAAUUCACCUAUUAAUCCCACUUGGUUCUGUUUUACCUCCAACACAGACAGUACAAACAGUUUAUUGAGUUUGAUGUCUGCUUCUUGUUAGGAACUUCAAGGCAUACAUUCAUACUACAGAUUUCUACAGAAGUACUCACAUCAAAUUAGGUUUGAAGGCUGAAAGCAGGCUGUCAUUCCACCUUUCCUAGGUGAUUCUCAUGCCUCUGAAAAGCUGAGCAUCUUUCAGAGAAGCAGAUCAUGUCUGUGGAAUUUAUUGACACAAGAAUAGAUCCCAUUAAUAAGCACCAUGAGUUUGUGGUUACCACUGUGCUCUGUCCCUGCUGGAAGGAAACUCAGAAGGGCUUCUUGUUUCUGCCCGAGAGAUGUGCUUAGAGAUCAGCUCUGAACCUGGUUCCUCACAUGUUUCCUUGCAAGUUACAGCACGAGCACAAAGGAGCUCAGACCAGCCCUGCACCACUUUCCAAAGUCAGCU
rnacentral:lncRNA from 1 species